GACGAACGCUGGCGGCGUGCCUAAUACAUGCAAGUUGAGCGCUGAAGGUUGGUACUUGUACCAACUGGAUGAGCAGCGAACGGGUGAGUAACGCGUGGGGAAUCUGCCUUUGAGCGGGGGACAACAUUUGGAAACGAAUGCUAAUACCGCAUAAAAACUUUAAACACAAGUUUUAAGUUUGAAAGAUGCAAUUGCAUCACUCAAAGAUGAUCCCGCGUUGUAUUAGCUAGUUGGUGAGGUAAAGGCUCACCAAGGCGAUGAUACAUAGCCGACCUGAGAGGGUGAUCGGCCACAUUGGGACUGAGACACGGCCCAAACUCCUACGGGAGGCAGCAAUAGGGAAUCUUCGGCAAUAGACGAAAGUCUGACCGAGCAACGCCGCGGGAGUGAAGAAGGUUUUCGGAUCGUAAAACUCUGUUGGUAGAGAAGAACGUUGGUGAGAGUGGAAAGCUCAUAAAGUGACGGUAACUACCCAGAAAGGGACGGCUAACUACGUG
rnacentral:rRNA from 1 species